rnacentral:rRNA from 1 species
CUCAGAUUGAACGCUGGCGGCAGGCCUAACACAUGCAAGUCGAACGGUAACAGGAAGAAGCUUGCUCUUGCUGACGAGUGGCGGACGGGUGAGUAAUGUCUGGGAAACUGCCUGAUGGAGGGGGAUAACUACUGGAAACGGUAGCUAAUACCGCAUAACGUCGCAAGACCAAAAAGGGGGGACCUUCGGGCCUCUUGCCAUCGGAUGUGCCCAGAUGGGAUUAGCUAGUAGGUGGGGUAACGGCUCACCUAGGCGACGAUCCCUAGCUGGUCUGAGAGGAUGACCAGCCACACUGGAACUGAGACACGGUCCAGACUCCUACGGGAGGCAGCAGUGGGGAAUAUUGCACAAUGGGCGCAAGCCUGAUGCAGCCAUGCCGCGUGUAUGAAGAAGGCCUUCGGGUUGUAAAGUACUUUCAGCGGGGAGGAAGGGAGUAAAGUUAAUACCUUUGCUCAUUGACGUUACCCGCAGAAGAAGCACCGGCUAACUCCGUG